rnacentral:lncRNA from 1 species
CUUAACCUCACUUAUCCUCUUUGGUCGAGUUUCCUCUCUUCUCUUCACUAAGUUACCUUCUCAUCCCAUCAGAUAACUUCCCCAAGUAGUUACUGUGGUUAAAAUAAAGUUACCACAGUAAAACUCUAAAGUUACUGUCUCAGCCUCCUUGGUCUUCAUCUCAAUAACCCUAACAUUGCACACUCACCCAUUUGCUCCUCAACACUCUUCUAAGUCUCUCCUAGACUUUUCCCUUGCUUAGAACAUCCCUCAUAUCACUUCUGAACACCUUUAGACUCCUCAUCACUCUUGAUAGGCAAUCUCUAAAGCUCUUGCCCUAUCUUUGUACAAGAUCCAUCUCAACUCAACACCUUUAGCUCCUCCAUUCCUUUCUUCAAGUUAACACUCCCCCUCAAGCUUGACUCUAGCUGAUCCUAAGUCAAGCUUGGAACCUUGAAGAACUUCCUCAUUAAAAACCUCACCAAGGAAAACCCUUUGGGACAAAACCUUGAUGAGGGAAAAAGAGUAAAGUCUCCAAGGCUUAGGGAUUGGCCAGUGAGUCUUUGUGCCUUACCAACAAUGUAAGGGACACAAAGACUCUG